rnacentral:rRNA from 1 species
CAAUAGCGUAUAUUAAAGUUGUUGCAGUUCAAAAGCUCGUAGUUGGAUUUCUGGUGGGAGCGAUCGGUCUGGCGCUUAGCGCGAGUACUUGCAUCGUCUCCGGCCAUCCUUGGGGAGAGUCUGUCUGGCAUUAAGUUGUCGGGCAGAGGAUCCUCAUCGUUUACUGUGAAAAAAUUAGAGUGUUCAAAGCAGGCUUAUGCCGUUGAAUAUAUUAGCAUGGAAUAAUAAGAUAGGACUUUGGUACUAUUUUGUUGGUUUGCGCACCAAAGUAAUGAUUAAUAGGGACAGUUGGGGGUAUUCGUAUUCCGUUGUCAGAGGUGAAAUUCUUGGAUUUACGGAAGACGAACUACUGCGAAAGCAUUUACCAAGGAUGUUUUCAUUAA